GGGGGUUUGUAUUGCGAGAUAUACCUGCCGCUUCUUAGAGGGACAUUUCGGGUAUACCGGAAGGAAGUUUGAGGCAAUAACAGGUCUGUGAUGCCCCUAGAUGUUCUGGGCCGCACGCGCGCUACACUGACGACUUCAACAAGUUUUUUGGCAUUGCCAAAUUUCCUUGGCCGGAAGGUCUGGGUAAUCUUUUAAAAGGUCGUCGUGAUGGGGCUAGAUUCUUGCAAUUAUUAAUCUCCAACGAGGAACC
rnacentral:rRNA from 1 species